rnacentral:lncRNA from 1 species
CCCGCGUCGGGGAGGUUUCCGGCCCGGGGCCCGACUGCGGGUGGCAUUUCUGGCUAAGCCGUUAGGCGCGAAUUUUCUGUGUCCAGAAAACACAGGGCACGUUACCCGGUAUCGUGGUCUACACCUCGCCCACAAAUCCAUCCCAGGCUGUAUCCUCAUGGAAGCUUUUUCCAGAUGUGCUUGAGGGUUAAGAUCGCAAUGUGCAAGAAGAAAAAGUGCACAUUGGAAAACCUUCUCUUCGGAGAUAUCUAUAUCUAUAUUUAUAUAUAUUUACAGAUAUGGAGAUAUAUACACACACGUAUCUGAAAACAUUCUGACGUUUUAAAAACGGAGCACCAGAGGAGGGGGACUUCAUCUGACUUGUUCAGCACUGUCUCCCAGGCCCUGGCACAGAGGGAGCACUCGAUACACACCGAUGGGCUGAAGGUGUGAAUGGAUCUGGGGACUAGAGUGAUGGUUAUUUGGCAGACAGCAUGCCCCGCCUGGGCAGUAGCCGUGAAGACUCUUCUUUUCCUCUCCUCGCCUGCACUCUUUAGGAUUGAACAGCAUUGGUUCAAUGCAUAUUCUGGGAGCACAGAGAAAAAAGGGAUCAAGUUCCACCAUUAUGCAAAAGGGACUCCUGUAAGCCAGACCCUGAGCCGUUGUCAAAACACAGCUUAAUCCCCAUUCCCUGGGCCCGAGACCCUGCAGCCCCCACGCUGCCCGGCUUCCGGUCUUACCUGGGGCAACCUGACCAACAAGAACGCGGAAGGCCAGGAGCCAAAAACAGAGACUCCUGAUGGGUAACAGAAGGAAAAGACUUGGAGGCUGCCAUUUCUCCAAGUAGUCCUGGAGAUUCUCAAAUGCUAAAGUUAACCAACACAGUGCCCUAAGACCAGAAAGGAGAAAAAAUGGAAGUUCUGGGUCCUGCCAAAGGACUAUUUCACUGAGCAGACUGCUGAGACCUCUGAAUUAUGUGGACACUUGAGAAUCAGUCAUGUGUUGGGGCCGGCGUCGUGGCUCAUGCCUGUAAUCCCAGCACUUUGGCAUUUUGGGAGGCCAAGGCGGGUGGAUCACCUGUGGUCAGGAGUUCGAGACCAGCCUGGUCAACAUGGUGAAACCCUGUCUUUACUAAAAACAAAAACAAACCCCAAAAAUUAGCCAGGUAUGGUGGCCGGCACCUGUAAUCCGAGCUAGUCGGGAGGCUGAGGCAGGAGAACUGCUUGGGCUUGGGAGGCAGAGGUUGCAGUGAGCCGAGAUUGUGCCACUGCACUUCAGCCUGGGCGACAAGAGUGAAACACCAGCUCAAAAAAAAAAAAAAAAAAAAAAAACCAAAAAAAAAAAAACCAAAAUCAGUCACCUGUUGGUUUGUGGAUCAAACAAAGUGGAGGUGACAUCACUGAAGCCUAGGACAUCACUCCCCUUUUCCAGGCAGGCUUUGUGGUUCGACCUGUCUCACGUUCCAACCCAUGCACCCUAACCCCCUACUUCUUUACCUCUUCCAAUUGAGACACAAGAUUCAUUUUGGCCCAAAGGAGGUGCCUUGAAUUUUGGUAAAGAUCGGGCAGGCAGAAUAGAGACAUUGCCCU